UGGGCUUCUACUCCGAUGGAACAAAAGUUGCUCAAAUAGAUCUGACGCUUUGUUUUCGAGCCCGAAAUACCCUGUGGCAGCAGCCGGAAGUGUGACCAAGACCUGAGAUUCCCAACAGCAAGGACUCGGGCUGCUUUCAUCAAUGCCUUAACCCCAGCAUGUGACCGGGUAAUGUGUACACAGUCAAUAACUGCCAAAUAUCCAAAGGUGGGAGGAGGGGAAGUCUCCCGGCCCUUCUCUGCCCUGUGGGCACCUGUUCGUUCAGAAAGGCCUGCUACACAGGCACCAGCGUGGGGUGGGGUGAAUGGGAAAGGAGUGCAAUGGGAAUAUAAUGCCAAGUCAGAAGUAGCUCCUGUGCUUGUGGAGGAAGUGAGCGGACAGCGUUCAUCAGUGUGGGAGACAGACAUUUACUGAAGGAUGACACAAAGGAACAUAAAAACACAACAGAUGGGCCUAGGCCGGGCAUCUCCUGGAACAAGCUGGAAGGACGGUGAUAAGGGAUUCUAGUCUCAGAGACAAAAACAAUGAAGCUGACGUAAAGGGAUCACAGUGUGGCAGGAAGUGUUCUGUAGAUGUGAAUCCCAUCGAUCCACCCCCUGCAAUGGGGAGUUGGGGAGGAGAGGACAAGACUAGAAAGGACUAGAUGGAGCAAAUGGAGUGGAUCCAGCUUCCCCUCUAAUCAACCAUGUUUCAGAAUCAGGAGUGACCAAGUUGGUCACUUGAGCUAUAAUGGAGACUAGAGAUGAGGUUAUGGGCAUUCUUCUGGAGGCACACAAGGUAAGAAGGCCCAGCUACACGCUGUCCUUGGGAGCAACGAGUCCAGCUGGCCUGCCUGGAGUGACUACUCUCUCCUCCGUGCGCUGGAGCGCUGGAAGGUAUCAAGGACUGCUAAAGAAAACACCUCUGCCUUUCCCAACGCAGGCCCCGUGGAACAGGGAUAGACAAGGCUUCCAGCUGUGCCCUGCCUGUCCUCCCCCCGGGAGAGAUCCGACAGGUGGAUAGCGAGUGCAUUGUCGGGUCUUCGGGAGCUGAACUGGGCACCCGGAGGUCUCUCACUUCCUUCCCACCACCCCCGCAGGCUGAGCUCUGCCUCGCGUGGGGAGACGUGGGCAAUGCAGUUAGUCUGAGGGCCUGUAGCUCGCCCUGGGCUGAGAACCUCGAGCAGCCUCGGACAGGAACCCGCGGAGACGCCCCACCUAGCCUCGGGUGCACGCGCAGCAGGAAGGGCCGCGGAGGGGCCCGGACGGGGCCGGCACCCGCGAAGCUCGCCGGUCACCCCCGCUCCCCGCCCUUCCUCUGCCAGCCUCUGUGGCCAGAGGCCUGAGCCGGUGGCUAAU
ensembl:lncRNA